AUUAAUAUCCUCGCUUGGAACUGCCGGGGGGCGGGGAACCGCCGGACAGUUCAUGAGGUGUUGGCCCUCGUCAACGCUAAUGUCCCCAAGCUAGUCUUCUUAAGUGAGACUAGGCAAGAUGCUAAAAAGAUUGAGAAGCUCAAAUGGAGAUUAGGUUUAAAAGGCUUUCAUGGUGUCAGCAGCCAUGGAAGAAGUGGUGGAUUGGCUCUCUUU
rnacentral:rRNA from 1 species